AUAAUUAAUAAUAAAAUACCAAGAAAGUAUUUAGAGUCAAACACGAGUUUCGGAAGUAGCAGACAAUGCCUUCUCUCACUAAUUGGAAAGUCUGUUCUUCACAUCGUUUUCAUCUUUUUAUUCGAAGGUGAUUAAUCUUUUCACCACAUUUUGUUUCCUCGCUUUGGCAACACAUCAACUUCUUGCUUCAAAGAAGUACUAAUGUGCGUGACGUUGUAAGAUCACAAACAAAAGAAAACUAAUUCUUUUCCUGGUGAGAAAAAGAGAUAAAGUCAAAGCGCGCUUGGUACAUUUUCUGCUAAAAACUUUUUGGUGGACCGCAUUGCAAGGGGUGUGGUUGAGUGCUCCAAUCACUCCAUCCAUUGAACGACUAUUGAUCUUGCAUCUGUCACUGUCAAACGGUCCUCACUAAUCGCAGUUUGUCGCCAGUUAUGUUGGCAUGGAGACUUUAUAUGGGCCUUGGCGAUUUUUUUCACUUUUUUUAUUUGAACACAUCAUCUCUGAAAUUACCAAGCAGAUAGACAUCAAGGGAAAAAUAAUAUUAAAGGAAAAAAAAAGGAAAAACAGAUGUUGAUGAGAGACAGAAAUAAUAAAAAAGAAACUGACCUUAAUUCCUUUAAACCUUUUAGCUUUAGUUUGAAGAAUUACUCUUCUUAUUGUCAUCGCCAAUUUGGAGAAGUAAGGUAAAAACUGAUGUCACGUGAUAUAUAGAUUUGUCCUUAGAGGAGUAAUUGGGGUAGAGAGCGAGCAACCCUAUUCAACCCGCACCAAAGUAAAAUCACGUGACUUACGGCAAGCGAGUUUUCUUCGCAGUCGCAUUCUAAUGUUAUUUAAAUGGACGUCUAGUUCUUGCAUCAGCUAUCUCGUUGAAUGAUUUGAAUUAAAGAUGGUUUUAUCUUGUUGUGCUUAUGGAUGUAAUGAGAGGCAAGUCACCGGAGGUCCUAUAACAUUUCACAGUUUUCCAACGGAUGCUGAAAGAAAAAAACUGUGGUUGACUAAAAUUCGAAGAGAUGAUUUUACUCCUUCUAAAUGCUCAAAAGUUUGCUCAAAACAUUUUACUGAGGAUUGUUUCGACCGUCAAAAAUUUGGAGGCACUUGGUUGACAAAAGAUGCAGUUCCUACAUUAUAAAAAAAUAAUUUGUAUUGAAAAAUUGGCUUUGAUAGUUAUCUUUUAACUGUUUUAUGUUGCAUUAAAAAAACAUGUUUCAUUACAGUUCUAAGUGGUGUGAAAUUAUUGCUCCAAACAUACCCAAAAUGGCUAAAUUUAUACUCUAAAUCAAAUGAAAUUUGCUACUCCAUACUAAUAACCUCACUGGUGCACUAGAAUUAACCAACUCUAGUGUUUGAUACUCAAAAUUAUUGGUAUAUAUUUCUGAAAGAUGCACAUUUAUAUUAACAUAAUUAUCAAAGUUUCUUUUCGUAAACCAAUAUAAUCUUUUCAAACUUUGGAAUACAUUUUAAAAAUGAAUAAAUCUCAAUGACCCAAAUGACUGCAAACUUUCCUUACAUAGUUUUUUUUCUUCUUUUAAAUAUUGCAUUAAAAAAGACUUAAGUAGAUAUAUAAUUGAUAUUUUAAGAAAAUUUGGAUAGAAAAUUAGAAUCACUCAAUUAUGGAUAGCAUAAAAGUAUUCUUUCUUCUGAUAGCAUAAAGUAUCUCUUCAUUUGAGGAAGAUCUCUUUUGUAAAAAUGUGCAUAUUUACUACAAUUCACAUUCUAUUCAGUAAAACUAGUUGAAAAUAAUUUUUCAUGUGACGUCUAAAAAAUUGAUUAAAAAAAAUUUUAUGCAUUAUUUUUAUGAUAAUCGAUUUUUAAAAAAUAUAAUUUAUUGAAUUCAUUUAUAUUGGGCAACUUCAUUAAGUUGACAAUCGUACAUCGCAUACUUUUUUAAACAUUACGAUGAUAAGAUAAUAAAAAUAUUCGGUUGACAAUUGAUAUUUUGAGGAAAUUUACAAUUACUUUUUAAGAUUAAAUUGAAUUCUUUCUUCUUAGAGCCUAAAGAAUUGUUAAAGUGUGUAUGUGUAUCAAUGCAUUAUUUCAUUAUAAAUUUUUAAAAAGUACAAUUUUUCUAAAAUAAAUAUUUUGAGCAACUUUAUGAAUUAACAAUCAUACGGCAAAUAAACUCAGACAAUCAAUCGCCGGUUAAGCUCUCCCGAAAAUUUCAUCAUCUUCAGAUUCCAAAGGAACAAAUCCAAAUUGGAAACCACCUGAGGUGAUCGAUUAUCUUGCGCCAAAGUAGCGAUUGCUUUCCACUUAUGAAAACUCGUUUGGCGAGAUUGGGUAAAGUCAGCUGAUUUACUUUGGAGCGGCUUUGCAAGUGGCAGUUGAAUGGGUUUGCGCUCUCUACCCCUAUUCCUACUCUAAGGA
rnacentral:lncRNA from 1 species